rnacentral:rRNA from 1 species
UGGGGAAUAUUGGACAAUGGGCGCAAGCCUGAUCCAGCCAUGCCGCGUGAGUGAUGAAGGCCCUAGGGUUGUAAAGCUCUUUCACCGGUGAAGAUAAUGACGGUAACCGGAGAAGAAGCCCCGGCUAACUUCGUGCCAGCAGCCGCGGUAAUACGAAGGGGGCUAGCGUUGUUCGGAUUUACUGGGAGUAAAGCGCACGUAGGCGGACUUUUAAGUCAGGGGUGAAAUCCCGGGGCUCAACCCCGGAACUGCCUUUGAUACUGGAAGUCUUGAGUAUGGUAGAGGUGAGUGGAAUUCCGAGUGUAGAGGUGAAAUUCGUAGAUAUUCGGAGGAACACCAGUGGCGAAGGCGGCUCACUGGACCAUUACUGACGCUGAGGUGCGAAAGCGUGGGGAGCAAACAGG